rnacentral:rRNA from 1 species
UUUGGUGGCGAUGGCGGAAGGGAACCACAUGCCAUCCCGAACGCGGCCGUUAAGCCUUCCAGCGCCGAUAAGGUACUUGGACCGAAGGGUCAGGAGAGCGGACGCCCGCCAACA